GGGGUUGUGGCUCAGUGGUAGAGUGCCUGCCUAGCGUGCACGGAGUGCUGAGUUCAAUCCUCAGCACCACA
rnacentral:tRNA from 1 species